UGUGGUCUUUUGUGACUGACUCAUUUAGC
rnacentral:piRNA from 1 species